rnacentral:rRNA from 1 species
GGCAAGACCGGUGCCAGCCGCCGCGGUAACACCGGCAGCCCGAGUGGUGAUCACUAUUAUUGGGUCUAAAGGGUCCGUAGCCGGUUUAAUCAGUCUUCUGGGAAAUCUAAUCGCUUAACUAUUAGGCUUCCAGGGGAUACUGUUAGACUUGGGACCGGGAGAGGUAAGAGGUACUGCAGGGGUAGGAGUGAAAUCUUGUAAUCCCUGUGAGACCACCAGUGGCGAAGGCGUCUUACCAGAACGGGUCCGACGGUGAGGGACGAAAGCUGGGGGCACGAACCGGAUUAGAUACCCGGGUAGUCCCAGCUGUAAACGAUGCUCGUUAGGUGUCAGGAACGGUGCGACUGUUUCUGGUGCCGAAGGGAAGCCGUGAAACGAGCCACCUGGGAAGUACGGCCGCAAGGCUGAAACUUAAAGGAAUUGGCGGGGGAGCACUACAACGGGUGGAGCCUGCGGUUUAAUUGGACUCAACGCCGGAAAACUCACCGGGGGCGACAGCAAUAUGUAGGUCAGGUUAAAGGUCUUACCUGAAUCGCUGAGAGGAGGUGCAUGGCCGUCGUCAGUUCGUACUGUGAAGCAUCCUGUUAAGUCAGGCAACGAGCAAGACCCGUGCCCACUGUUACCAGCAUAUCCUUUAUGGAUGAUGGGGACUCUGUGGGGACCGCUGCUGCUAAAGCAGAGGAAGGUGCGGGCUACGGUAGGUCAGUAUGCCCCGAAUCUCCCGGGCUACACGCGGGCUACAAUGGUUGGGACAAUGGGUAUCUACUCCGAAAGGAGUUGGCAAUCUCUUAAACCCAAUCGUAGUUCGAAUUGAGGGCUGUAACUCGCCCUCAUGAAGCUGGAAUCCGUAGUAAUCGCGUUUCAACAUA